CACGUAGGGGGCAAGCGUUGUCCGGAUUCAUUGGGCGUAAAGAGCUCGUAGGCGGUUCGAGAAGUCGGGUGUGAAACCUCCAGGCUCAACCUGGAGACGCCACCCGAUACUGUCGUGACUAGAGUCCAGUAGGGGAGCGUGGAAUUCCUGGUGUAGCGGUGAAAUGCGCAGAUAUCAGGAGGAACACCAGCGGCGAAGGCGGCGCUCUGGGCUGGAACUGACGCUGAGGAGCGAAAGCGUGGGGAGCGAACAGG
rnacentral:rRNA from 1 species